CGUUCAACCUCACCCUUCCUUGUUCUCCCCGCCUAUAUACCGCCGUCGUCAGCUUACCCUAUGAAGGCCCUUCAGUAAGCACAAUUGGUACAACCCAAAACGUCAGGUCGAGGUGUAGCGUAUGGAAAGGGAAGAAAUGGGCUACAUUCCCUAUUACAGUGAAUUACGAAUAAUACUACUGAAACGUAUAUCUAGAAGGAGGAUUUAGCAGUAAGCAGAAAAUAGAGCGUUCUACUGAAACCGGCCCUGAAGCGCGCACACACCGCCCGUCACUCUCCCCAAACAUAUCCUAACACUUUAACUUAAAACCUUUCACCAACGAAGGGGAGGCAAGUCGUAACAUGGUAAGUGUACCGGAAGGUGCACUUGGCAAAAC
rnacentral:rRNA from 1 species